rnacentral:rRNA from 1 species
CGCUAGCGGGAUGCUUUACACAUGCAAGUCGAACGGCAGCAUGAGAGAGCUUGCUCUCUUGAUGGCGAGUGGCGGACGGGUGAGUAAUGUAUCGGAACGUGCCCGGUAGUGGGGGAUAACUACGCGAAAGCGUAGCUAAUACCGCAUAUWCUCUACGGAGGAAAGAGGGGGAUCGUAAGACCUCUUGCUACCGGAGCGGCCGAUAUCAGAUUAGCUGGUUGGUGGGGUAACGGCCUACCAAGGCGGUGAUCUGUAGCUGGUUUGAGAGGACGACCAGCCACACUGGGACUGAGACACGGCCCAGACUCCUACGGGAGGCAGCAGUGGGGAAUUUUCGACAAUGGGGGGAACCCUGAUCGAGCCAUCUCGCGUGUGGGACGAAGGCCUUCGGGUUGUAAACCACUUUUCUCAACGAAGAAAAGUCUUAGGCUAAUACCUUAAGAUGCUGACGGUAGUUGAGGAAUAAGCACCGGCUAACUACGUGCCAGCAGCCGCGGUAAUAC